AUUGAACGCUGGCGGCAGGCCUAACACAUGCAAGUCGAACGGUAGCACAGAGAGCUUGCUCUCGGGUGACGAGUGGCGGACGGGUGAGUAAUGUCUGGGAAACUGCCCGAUGGAGGGGGAUAACUACUGGAAACGGUAGCUAAUACCGCAUAACGUCGCAAGACCAAAGUGGGGGACCUUCGGGCCUCACACCAUCGGAUGUGCCCAGAUGGGAUUAGCUAGUAGGUGGGGUAAUGGCUCACCUAGGCGACGAUCCCUAGCUGGUCUGAGAGGAUGACCAGCCAAACUGGAACUGAGACACGGUCCAGACUCCUACGGGAGGCAGCAGUGGGGAAUAUUGCACAAUGGGCGCAAGCCUGAUGCAGCCAUGCCGCGUGUAUGAAGAAGGCCUUCGGGUUGUAAAGUACUUUCAGCGGGGAGGAAGGCGGUGAAGUUAAUAGCUUCACCGAUUGACGUUACCCGCAGAAGAAGCACCGGCUAACUCCGUGCCAGCAGCAGCCGCCGUAA
rnacentral:rRNA from 1 species